rnacentral:lncRNA from 1 species
UAUAAAAGGAGCUGACGACUCCAAGCAAGUCGUUGAUCCGUCCACCGACCAGUCGACCAGUCGAUCUGCUGAUCUGACUACCGACCGAGACAUCUGCACACCUGAUCCCGCUGGAAGGAGCAUCGCCGCCGACCAGACGAGACCAGAGGACGAGGAAAGCGGAGAGGCGGACAGCCUAGCGCCGACUCGACGCCCUUCGUCUACGGAUCGGACCCUCUGACCCCACGGGAGGAAACAUCGCGCUCCCACAAGGACUUGCGCAGUACAGUGCCCCAGGAAGACAUGCUUCCACACCAGUGACUUGAAACCUGAAAAAGACAGUCCCAGCCAUCAAGACGUCCAACACAGGAGAGGAUGUGGACAAAUUUUGAAGAUUCAUCGUCUGCUUCUUGGACUAUGUAGCAGCAGAACCAGCAGAAAUACUGACUCAAUAAAUGCAGAAUAGCUAAGAGUCUUUACAUGACAAGUAACAAAAGAAAACCUCACAUUUUCUCAGGCCAAAAAGAAAAAAAACCAGCAGAGAAAUUUAUCACAAAUAUACAAAGUUGACUCAUACAGCCCAUGGACAGCAAGAGAAGACCAGAAUGGGGCAGAGAAGGGUUUCU